rnacentral:rRNA from 1 species
GAUGAACGCUGGCGGCGUGCCUAAUACAUGCAAGUCGAGCGAACAGACGAGGAGCUUGCUCCUCUGACGUUAGCGGCGGACGGGUGAGUAACGUGUGUAUAACCUACCUAUAAGACUGGGAUCACUUCGGGAAACCGGAGCUAAUACCGGAUAAUAUAUUGAACCGCAUGGUUCAAUAGUGAAAGACGGUUUUGCGGUAUCUUAUAGAUGGAUCCGCGCCGCGUUAGCUAGUUGGUAAGGUCACGGCUUACCACGGCAACGAUGCGUGGCCGACGUGAGAGGGGGGUCGGCCGCCCUGGAACGUAGACACGCUCCUGGCGCCUACGGGACGGAGCAGUAUGGUAUCGUCCGCAAUGGGCGAAAGUCUUACGGAGCGGCGGCGCGUGAGAGAUGAAGGUCCUCGGAUCGUAAAACUCUGUUAUUAGGUAAGAACAAAUGUGUAAGUAACUAUGCACGUCUUGACGGUACCUAAUCAGAAAGCCACGGCUAACUACGUG